rnacentral:rRNA from 1 species
AUUAACGCUGGCGGUGUGUAUAAUACAUGCAAGUCGAGCGCCCAGCACUGUGUUUCUAAUGCGUUUAGAGAUAGAGUGCUGGGAGCGGCGGACGGGUGAGUAACACGUUGGUAACUACUCCAGAAUCAGGGAUAAGCUCUAGAAAUAGGGUCUAAUACCGGAUAGUCCCGAAAGGGUAAAGCAGCAAUGCGUUCUGGAAGGUGCCUGCGGCCUAUCAGCUUGUUGGUAAGGUAAUGGCUUACCAAGGCUAUGACGGGUAGCUGGUCUGAGAGGACGGCCAGCCACAAUGGGACUGAGACACGGCCCAUACUCCUACGGGAGGCAGCAGUAAAGAAUCUUUCACAAUGGGGGAAACCCUGAUGAAGCAACACCGCGUGGAGGAUGAAGGCGUUUUCGUUGUAAACUCCUUUUCUGAAGGAAUAAUUUUGAAGGUACUUCAGGAAUAAGCAACGGCUAACUACGU